CAGUGUGAAAUGAAGACGGUUCAUUUGACUGUAAACUACAGUUAGUAUUGUUUUAUUAGCUUCAUUUGGUGUGUUAGUGUUUCUGAGACUGUUACAGAAGGUGCAGUUAGUUCUACUCCUCACAAAUCGGUAGGUAGGUUAAAACAGGCUCAUUCUUCAGGUUGUAAAGGUAUUUAACCGCCAUCUUAGAACCAAUAACUGCUGAAGCACCAGGUGUGGCGACUUAAUAGGAGCCUCUGGCUGAUCAGCGGGAGAAAAAGAGUCACGUGCUUGUAUGCGCGUGUGUCUUGUGUUGCAGGUUAAUUAAGGGAAGGGAGACUGAGGAUAAAACACAUAGUUAAUGUAAGAACAAUAACAACCCUCAUAAGAGUUGACUUUUUAAUUCUUAAGAACUGUUUAACAAAUUUUUGUUUGUGCAGGCCUACUUUUAAAUAUAACCAAAAUCUGGAGGUCUUGGGGGACUUCUGUCUUUAUGGAAUAUGAAUGAAAUUAAAAACAAAAAGGGCUAACUACAAAUAAAUAAAAUGCAGCAGUGGGCCAUUAAUAUUAUUAAUAUAGAAUGUAGAUAUUUGUUUUAAAACAACAGCAUGUAUUAUACUAAAUGAUGGUGUAUGCAAUUGAUAAUAUUUUUAGGCAGCAGAAUUUGAAUGUAGGCCACCUCAAAUGUUAAAACCAGAUAAAAAACAGAUAUAUCAUUCAAGCUUUCAUUUAUGAUUGUUGCAUACUUUGAAAUUGUGAUGUCACCAUUGGAUAAAGUGUGCAGUGAUACAUGUAGCAAAUAAUUGCUUAUGAUAUUGACUACGUUAUCUAAUAGCAGCAAAGUAUUAGAGCAUUAUGACUGUGAUGGUUCUCAGUCAUUCAGGUCAUUGUACUUCAAGAAGACGUUUCACCUCUUCACAUCUGGGAAGCUUCUUCAGUGAAGAAGUCCAGACACUUUCUUUCCAAGCUCCUUAGACUAUUAGAGUUUAACAUGACUAAGAAACUUGUGUGGCUUAUUGCAAAUGGAUGAAACCACAUAUUACCUUUAAUGAACAUGGUUAUCCUUAAUAUGGUGUAGAAAAAAGAAAACAGAGGACAGUUGUUGUUUGUAUUCCAGCUGUAGUAAACACAGAAGUUAACUGACUCUUUUUGACUACCGAAAGUAAUGCAGUAUUGACUGACGCUGAUUUGAGUUGUCUCAUUCUGUAUUUUUGUUAUUUAUCUUUUGUUACACAGAUUGAAACAGAUCUUUGGUUUUGCCUUUGCUGGUAAGUAAACAGUGAUUAUAACUGAAGCAAUAUGACACUGUCAUUGUAUAGCAUGUCUGAUAAUUUACAUACACUAGUUUUGCUUUUUGUGACAUCCAUUUACUGAUGGGCAAAAACAAAUGGUCAGGAUUUGUAAUCUGAAGCAGCAAAGCCCCCACACAGGACCUCUGACUGUCCCUGAAAAUGUCCCUGAAAUUUAAUAGCCCAUUUAUGUCUGAUUUUAAGCACUUAAGCAAUGAGAAAAAAACUAAGAGAACUAGAGUUGUGAGUGCACAGUGUUUGGUAUAUUAAAGUCAGUGUGUUCUCUAUUUAUGCUAUAAGUUAAAAUUAGUUUAUUAAUUAUUUAGUGAAUACAGUGUGUUUAAAAAUUAAAUAGAAAUGUUGGCAAAAAGGGAAAUAUUGCAAAAUACAUAAAUAUUCCUUCCAACAGGUAUAUCCUGCAUUUGUGCCAACAAAUAUUGGUGCCUAUUCUUUGCACUUCUGUAGUAUAAAUGCUUUUAUUACACGUUAUAGCCAUGUGAGACUCUGCAGCUAAUGUUCAUAAAAGCUUGAAGAAAUUGAGGAUUUUACUAGUUAUUUUAUGUCACAGUAAAUUGGAUUGUGUGUGAAGAGGCUCAACUGUCUGAAUCAUUAAACAGUGAUCUGAUGUAUUGUUUCCUUUCUUUAGACUGCUGAUCUGAUCGUCUCAAGUCUGUGUUCAGACACAAUUGCCAUCGAGAAGCUGCCCUGAGGACCCAGACUUCCUGUUUCCUGACUGCUGCAGAACAUCCAGCUGAAGAAUCCUCAUUGCCUGUCAUCUGAUCACCACAUCACCACAGCUGUUUAUAUUUGCUUUACAUUUUAGAUAUCUGAAAGAUUUACACAAAGUCUACUUAAAAACUAAAAGUUUUAUUAUAGCCUGUUGAUUAUUGUGAUUUAUUCUGUAUAUCCCUUUACAGAAGCUAAGAUCUAGUCAUUAACAAGUCUGGUUAAAAUAUCAGAAGUAAAAAUAUUCUGUUUUGGAAAAAGCUACAAUAAAACUGAGCCAAGUGUU